GUGAGGAAUAUUGGACAAUGGGCGCAAGCCUGAUCCAGCCAUGCCGCGUGCAGGAAGACGCAUCUAUGGUGUGUAAACUGCUUUUGUACGGGAAGAAACACUCCCUCGUGAGGGAGCUUGACGGUACCGUAAGAAUAAGGAUCGGCUAACUCCGUGCCAGCAGCCGCGGUAAUACGGAGGAUCCAAGCGUUAUCCGGAAUCAUUGGGUUUAAAGGGUCCGUAGGCGGUUUAAUAAGUCAGUGGUGAAAGCCCAUCGCUAAACGAUGGAACGGCCAUUGAUACUGUUAGACUUGAAUUACAAGGAAGUAACUAGAAUAUGUAGUGUAGCGGUGAAAUGCUUAGAUAUUACAUGGAAUACCAAUUGCGAAGGCAGGUUACUACUUGUGGAUUGACGCUGAUGGACGAAAGCGUGGGGAGCGAACAGGAUUAGAUACCCGUGUAGUCC
rnacentral:rRNA from 1 species